AUUGAACGCUAGCGGGAUGCUUUACACAUGCAAGUCGAACGGCAGCGCGGACUUCGGUCUGGCGGCGAGUGGCGAACGGGUGAGUAAUGUAUCGGAACGUGCCCAGUAGCGGGGGAUAACUACGCGAAAGCGUAGCUAAUACCGCAUACGCCCUACGGGGGGAAAGCAGGGGAUCGUAAGACCUUGCACUAUUGGAGCGGCCGAUAUCGGAUUAGCUAGUUGGUGAGGUAACGGCUCACCAAGGCGACGAUCCGUAGCUGGUUUGAGAGGACGACCAGCCACACUGGGACUGAGACACGGCCCAGACUCCUACGGGAGGCAGCAGUGGGGAAUUUUGGACAAUGGGGGCAACCCUGAUCCAGCCAUCCCGCGUGUGCGAUGAAGGCCUUCGGGUUGUAAAGCACUUUUGGCAGGAAAGAAACGUCGCGGGCUAAUACCCCGUGGAACUGACGGUACCUGCAGAAUAAGCACCGGCUAACUACGUG
rnacentral:rRNA from 1 species